rnacentral:rRNA from 1 species
CCCGUAUGAAAGGCAACAUGAGAGAAGGCCUGUCUCCUAAGGCCAGCCAGUGAAAUUGAACUGCCCGUACAAAAGCUGGCAUUAACAAGCUAGACAAAAAGACCCUGUGGAACUUUAACAACUUGUUUAUACAAACUAAACAAUAGUUUCAGUUGGGACAACUUUAGAAAAAAUAAACCUCUUAUUACAGCAUAGACCAACAAGUCUAAAAAUUUUUACCUCGACCCAGUCAUACUGAUUAACGAAACAAGCUACCCCAGGGAUAACAGCGCCACCUUCUCAAAGAGUCCAUAUCAACAAGAAGAUCUACGACCUCGAUGUUGGAUCAGGGUACCCAGACGGUGCAGCAGCUGUCAAAGGUUCGUUUGUUCAACGACUAACACCCU